rnacentral:rRNA from 1 species
GCGUGGGGAGCAAACAGGAUUAGAUACCCUGGUAGUCCACGCCGUAAACGAUGAUCAUUAGUCGGUGGGAGCCACUGACGCAGCUAACGCAUUAAAUGAUCCGCCUGAGUAGUAUGCUCGCAAGAGUGAAACUUAAAGGAAUUGACGGGGACCCGCACAAGCGGUGGAGCAUGUGGUUUAAUUUGAAGAUACGCGGAGAACCUUACCCACUCUUGACAUCCUUUGCAAAGCUAUAGAGAUAUAGUGGAGGUUAACAGAGUGACAGAUGGUGCAUGGUUGUCGUCAGCUCGUGUCGUGAGAUGUUUGGUCAAGUCCUGCAACGAGCGCAACCCCUAUCUUUAGUUACUAACGAGUCAUGUCGAGGACUCUAGAGAUACUGCCUGGGUAACUGGGAGGAAGGUGGGGAUGACGUCAAAUCAUCAUGCCUCUUACGAGUGGGGCAACACACGUGCUACAAUGGUCGGUACAAAGAGACGCAAUACGGUGACGUGGAGCAAAUCUCAAAAAGCCGAUCUCAGUUCGGAUUGAAGUCUGCAAUUCGACUUCAUGAAGUCGGAAUCGCUAGUAAUCGCAGAUCAGCUAUGCUGCGGUGAAUACGUUCUCGGGUCUUGUACACACCGCCCGUCACACCAUGGGAGCUGGUAAUACCCAAAGUCGGUUUGCUAACCUCGGAGGCGACUGCCUAAGGUAGGACUGGUGACUGGGGUGAAGUCGUAACAAGGUAUCCCUACGAGAACGUGGGGAUG